GAUGAACGCUGGCGGCGUGCCUAAUACAUGCAAGUCGAGCGACCAGACGAGGAGCUUGCUCCCCUGACGUUAGCGGCGGACGGGUGAGUAACACGUGGAUAACCAACCUAUAAGACUGGGAUAACAUCGGGAAACCGGAGAUAAUAACGGAUAAUAUAUUGAACCGCAUGGAUCAAUAGUGAAAGACGGCUUUGCCGUCACUUAUAGAUGGAUCCGCGCCGCAUUAGCUAGUUGGUAAGGUAACGGCUCACCAAGGCAACGAUGCGUAGCCGACCUGAGAGGGUGAUCGGCCACACUGGAACUGAGACACGGUCCAGACUCCUACGGGAGGCAGCAGUGGGGAAUAUUCCGCAAUGGGCGAAAGCCUGACGGAGCAACGCCGCGUGAGUGAUGAAGGUCUUCGGAUCGUAAAGCUCUUUUAUUAGGGAAGAACAGAUGUGUAAGUAACUAUGCACGUCUUGACGGUACCCAAUCAGAAAGCCACGGCUAACUACGUG
rnacentral:rRNA from 1 species